CGCGGGGUGGAGCAGAUUGGUAGCUCGUCGGGCUCAUAACCCGAAGGUCGUCGGUUCAAAUCCGGCCCCCGCAACCA
rnacentral:tRNA from 1 species